AUUGAACGCUGGCGGCAUGCCUUACACAUGCAAGUCGAACGGCAGCACGGGGGCAACCCUGGUGGCGAGUGGCGAACGGGUGAGUAAUACAUCGGAACGUGCCCAGUAGUGGGGGAUAGCCCGGCGAAAGCCGGAUUAAUACCGCAUACGACCUACGGGUGAAAGCGGGGGAUCGCAAGACCUCGCGCUAUCGGAGCGGCCGAUGUCAGAUUAGGUUGUUGGUGGGGUAAAAGCCUACCAAGCCGACGAUCUGUAGCUGGUCUGAGAGGACGACCAGCCACACUGGGACUGAGACACGGCCCAGACUCCUACGGGAGGCAGCAGUGGGGAAUUUUGGACAAUGGGCGCAAGCCUGAUCCAGCCACGCCGCGUGCGGGAAGAAGGCCU
rnacentral:rRNA from 1 species